rnacentral:lncRNA from 1 species
CUCUGGAGAGCGACUCAGAGAAAUCCUCCAAAUCGCUGCAGGAGCUGGCAGACGAGCAGCGGCUGCGGAAACUGUCCACUAGAGGGAGACGGAGGGCGUGACCGCUGGCCCUCGCUGGCCCCGCCCAGUGCUUCCCAGGCCCUCCCAGCCCGCCCGCCCUGCCCAGUGCCUCCCAGCCCGCCCAGCCCCGCCCAGUCCCGCCUAGCCCGGCAGCCCCCAGCUCCAGGCCAGUUACCUGAGGAGCUGCGGUUUCGGGAGCGGUUAGGGGCGUCCCCUCGGCCAGUCAAGGCAGCAGGGGGCUGGGUCUGGCGAGACCAGGAGACGGACGGACCGUCCCCGCUUCCCCCACUGCCUAAGCGGUUCCGCUGCUGCUGCCUGGGAAAAAAGAAAGGAGACGCCGGUCUGUACGCCCAACUCCUGCAGGCAAGGGGGUCACUGCGCCCCUAAAGGUCACAGCCACGCCAGCGAAAGCCUGAGGUGACAGGCCUACGAGCGGAAAGCACGCAGAAACACAGACGAGGAGGCCGUGGGGUCGAAGCGGAGCGCGCGACCACCUAGGACGGCGUGGGAGAGGAGGCGGCUAGGUCCGGAGACGGGCCUUGGCAGCGCCAGUGCGUCCCCUCCCUACCGCAGGGCAGGGGCACAGACCUGUGGGCGAGGGCGAGGGGCGCGCAGGGCGGCCCCGACCCCGGCUCCCGCGGCCGCUCUCCCGGGAUGAGGAGCGCGCGGCGCCGCGGCCUCGCGACGCGGAGCGCUCCCGGGACGAUGAGGCCCGGUCCUCCCGCGUCGGGGGCGGCUGCACCGGCGGAGUCCGCCUCCUGAGACCACAGAGGCAGCUGUCAGCUUCCCGCCCGCCCCGACAAACUCAAUCGCGAGACUCCUCCCCGACCGCACCUUCUCCGAACCCUCAGGCCUACCCCAUCAACUCCUAGACGUGCACUCCUGGGCCCAUGACCCUCUCGAUAUCUUCCCCCCCAGACCUCACCCAAUUGGACCCCUAAAACACCCCUCUGUCAUUCCCCUACAUCCUUUCAACACACCGCCUUCAACAGACCCUUCUUUCCGGAGUCUUCCACAACUCCCCGGAAACUCUUUCCAAUUUUCCACCACCCACCCCAUAAAUGCCAGCGGACCUCACCCUGAUCCCACCUGCUGCGCCGCACCCUUUCGCACCAGGAGACCCUAGGGCACGAUCCCUUUCCCAGUCCCUCCUGAACGCCGCCCCAAGCCUGCGCAUCUCCGCACAGCCCGGGUCCACCUCCUAACCACUGCACCCAAAUCCUGUCUGGACUCCAGACGGGGUCCGCUAAGCCCCGCCUCCCCUUCAGCCCCGCCCCCUCCACCCUACCUGGCCCCGCCCCGCCCCCUUAGGCUCCGCCUCAUCAGCCUCCACACCCUCAGGGCCCGCCCAUCCGCCCAGGCGCCUGGCAGGCCUCGCUCUCACCCCCUCUUGUACAAUGCCAGCUCGCUGGUCAGCGUCUUCAGCCGGGCGCGCAGGCUCCGCUCCGAUGCCUUCGCCUCCUCGAGCUGCCGGGAGGGGAGAGGGGCGCGGAGGUCCAGGCUGAGGCCGAGGUCCGCGCCUCGCUGGCCGCCCCGGGCCCCCGCUGCUCACCUCCUUGGCCAGACGGCGGCAGUCCUGGCCGCGACGGCCGGCCACCCUGUGCCCGAGGCCGCGCUCCUGCCGCAGCUCCAGCUCCAGCCCGCGCACCAGCCCGCGCAGCGCCUCGGCCUCCUGGCGUGCCGCGCGCCCGGCCAGCGCCUCCUCGCGCGAUCGGCCCAGCUGCGCCUCCAGCUCCCGCUUCUCGGACGCCAGGCGCGACACCCUGGGGAAGACGCGGAGAGAGCGCUGGAGAGAGAGGCAUGGCCCCAUUCCCACUACUCCAUGGGGGUGGGACGCCUCAUCAUUUCACCUCCCCGGAAGGGGGUACACGGCUCAUCAGUCUCAACUGACCCCAUGGGGAGGGGCAGGGUCCUAUCAUAUCCCCUGCGACGUGUGAGGAGGGAUGUGGUCACAUCACCCCCAUGCACCUCACGAAGAGGACAUGACCCCACCACGCACAGGACACACACACACACUCCUCCCCCUGGUGCGGGUGAAGGAGUGGGAACACAGCCAUGUGAGUUCCAAUUCUAAACGAUUUCAUCAAUCUGUACACACCCUGAAAGCCUAGCACUGCCUCCCUCCUCCUCCCACCUCGCCAGGCCAGUCUCCCAGUCACGAAAUCCUCUACAAUACAAAUUUGAUCAGGUAACUACCAUGCUCAAAACCCUUCCUUGAGAAAAUGUAUACACAAGGCUAUUCAUUGCAGCACAAUCUGUAAUAGCAAAAGAGUGGAAAUAACCAAAAUGUAUGUUAAAAGAGAACUAAUUGAAUUUCUAAUACAUCUACUCAAUUGAGUCCCACAAAACUAUAAAGAGGAAAGUAGAGUAUCUCUGUGUCCUGUCACCGAGUGACUGCUGUGACACAGUGCGGUGCAGACAGUAUGUUCAGAAUGUCCCUUUUCAUAAAAGAAAUGAGAAUUAUAAAUUAUAUGUUUAUAUUUUCAAAAUUACAGAAUAAACCAAAAUCUAUGGGGGAAAAAAGGAUUAUUUAUGGGGAAGGGGAAAAUGAACAGAAAUUGGACUUCUCUGGCUGGACAAAGUGGCUCAUGCCUGUAAUCUCAGCACUUUGGGAGGCCGAGGCAGGUGGAUCACAUCUCAAAAAAAUAAGAAAACCAGAAGUAAAAAUAAUUUUUUAAAAAAUGUAAGAAAUUGGACCUCUCUGAAUGUACCCUCUUUUUCAGUUUUGGAACUAUAAAAAUAUUUUAUACAAAUUAAUUAAUUAAAUUUUAACAAAUGCCAUCACAAAAAUUUUAAAAGAAACUGGCCCAAACAGACCUAACUCUAUAUCAAAGUUGGUGGCACAUUGGAGAAUUAUAGGAGGUGACUAAAACACAUCGUUUGAGCAAGCGGGAUAUAGCCUAAGGCCAAAAAGAACUGCA